GACAAGGUAGGCAUGAACCGGGUUGCUUAAAACAACUAAAGUUAUAGUUCUAGGUCUAAAAAAUAAUCAACACACCUACCGAUCUACUUCAGGAUUACACUAGUCCUAACACCUCGGCUUUCCUCUUCCAAACGGACCGGCUCUACAUACAUGAGGAACACCUUAACCUUAACUCACCUACCUGUGUACCUAUCUAACUCUCUACUUACCCCUUUCAACUUGUAAGAAUAUUUUACUCAAAGUGGUCUCUACAUAGCUCAAAUAUUUAACUACCUAUUUUGUUACAGGAAAAAACAAGUUAUACCUACCUAGGUUACCUUUUAUCUGAAAAAUAUGCCUAACUUUAAGAAACUAUAUAGGUACUUACUACUAUACUAUUACUUUUUAUGAAAGAAGAAAUACAUUUUAUGGACGUAAAACUUUAUUUGGGUGAAUAACACACACAACACACACUGGUUGAGUAAUUUUUCUGACACCAAUACUUAUACACUAAUUGCUUGAUUUAAUUUCUGUAUCUUAUUUCCAUUAUCCUUCUAGUUAGUAGGUAGGUAACUAGGUGGUCUGAUGGUCGUUUUAGUAUUGUUGUCCCGGAGAGGAAUUAAUAUCUUGUAUCCAGCGUUUUAUGUUUAGUUUAUGGGUGUGGUUGAUUUUUCAUUUUCUUUGUUGUUGUCACUGAAAAAUAAAGUAAGUAUAGGUAAUUUGUAUGGAUAGUUGACAGAAUAAGCUUAUCCUUAUAGGUACCUAUUUA